rnacentral:lncRNA from 10 species
UAGAGUGGCUCUUGUUUGCUUUGACUCUGAUUGAUACAAGGUGAUUACUGUCCCCAAGGAGUUUAAGUUAUAGAAGAAGUUAAGGUUAGAUCAUACCCCUGUUGUCAACGGUUAUUAUGGUCAAGAGCAAGUCUGACAUGGCACUCGACUUCAAACAAGGGAAGGAAACCGAAGAUUGCACGGGGCUGAUAGCAAGACAGACAAGCAGGAGAUUCUGUCUCAUGUUAUUGUUAAGAGCAUGUGUGGCAUGCCUAGCAAGAAACCUGAAGCCAGCUCCUUGAGAUUGCUCCCUCUUUCACUCUGGAGAUUCCUAAAAGUCAAUGCAAGAAUUCUAGAAAGGAGCCCCUGAUGGAUGCCAAGGGUGUCAUUUGAAUGGGCACCAUUGUUGCUGGAGAGGAUGUGGAGAAAUAGGAACACUU